rnacentral:tRNA from 1 species
GGGGAUUUAGCUCAGUGGUAGAGCGCUUACCUAGGAAGCACAAGGCCCUGGGUUCAGUUCCCAGCUCCA